rnacentral:rRNA from 1 species
GCAUAUCAAUAAGCGGAGGAAAAGAAACCAACAGGGAUUGCCCUAGUAACGGCGAGUGAAGCGGCAACAGCUCAAAUUUGAAAUCUGGCUCUCACGGGCCCGAGUUGUAAUUUGUAGAGGAUGCUUUUGAUGCGGUGCCUUCCGAGUUCCCUGGAACGGGACGCCAUAGAGGGUGAGAGCCCCGUCUGGUUGGAUGCCAAAUCUCUGUAAAGCUCCUUCGACGAGUCGAGUAGUUUGGGAAUGCUGCUCUAAAUGGGAGGUAUAUGUCUUCUAAAGCUAAAUACUGGCCAGAGACCGAUAGCGCACAAGUAGAGUGAUCGAAAGAUGAAAAGCACUUUGAAAAGAGAGUUAAAAAGUACGUGAAAUUGUUGAAAGGGAAGCGUUUAUGACCAGACUUGGGCUUGGUUAAUCAUCUGGGGUUCUCCCCAGUGCACUUUUCCAGUCCAGGCCAGCAUCAGUUUUCGCCGGGGGAUAAAGGCUUCGGGAAUGUGGCUCCCUCCGGGGAGUGUUAUAGCCCGUUGCGUAAUACCCUGGCGGGGACUGAGGUUCGCGCUUCUGCAAGGAUGCUGGCGUAAUGGUCAUCAACGACCCGUCUUGAAACACGGACCAAGGAGUCGUCUUCGUAUGCGAGUGUUCGGGUGUCAAACCCCUACGCGUAAUGAAAGUGAACGCAGGUGAGAGCUUCGGCGCAUCAUCGACCGAUCCUGAUGUUCUCGGAUGGAUUUGAGUAAGAGCAUACGGGGCCGGACCCGAAAGAAGGUGAACUAUGCCUGUGUAGGGUGAAGCCAGAGGAAACUCUGGUGGAGGCUCGCAGCGGUUCUGACGUGCAAAUCGAUCGUCAAACAUGGGCAUGGGGGCGAAAGACUAAUCGAACYUUCUAGUAGCUGGUUUCCGCG